UACGAAGGGGGCUAGCGUUGUUCGGAAUUACUGGGCGUAAAGCGCGUGUAGGCGGCUUUGCAAGUCGGGUGUGAAAGCCCUCAGCUCAACUGAGGAAGUGCGCCCGAAACUGCAGAGCUUGAGUACCGGAGAGGGUGGCGGAAUUCCCCAAGUAGAGGUGAAAUUCGUAGAUAUGGGGAGGAACACCGGUGGCGAAGGCGGCUUUCUGGACGAUAACUGACGCUGAGACGCGAAAGCGUGGGGAGCAAACAGG
rnacentral:rRNA from 1 species